CGAUGAAGGACGUGCUAAUCUGCGAUAAGCGUCGGUGAGGUGAUAUGAACCGUUAUAACCGGCGAUUUCCGAAUGGGGAAACCCAGUGUGUUUCGACACACUAUCAUUAACUGAAUCCAUAGGUUAAUGAGGCGAACCGGGGGAACUGAAACAUCUAAGUACCCCGAGGAAAAGAAAUCAACCGAGAUUCCCCCAGUAGCGGCGAGCGAACGGGGAGGAGCCCAGAGCCUGAAUCAGUGUGUGUGUUAGUGGAAGCGUCUGGAAAGGCGUGCGAUACAGGGUGACAGCCCCGUACACAAAAAUGCACAUAUUGUGAGCUCGAUGAGUAGGGCGGGACACGUGGUAUCCUGUCUGAAUAUGGGGGGACCAUCCUCCAAGGCUAAAUACUCCUGACUGACCGAUAGUGAACCAGUACCGUGAGGGAAAGGCGAAAAGAACCCCGGCGAGGGGAGUGAAAAAGAACCUGAAACCGUGUACGUACAAGCAGUGGGAGCCUCUUUAUGGGGUGACUGCGUACCUUUUGUAUAAUGGGUCAGCGACUUAUAUUCUGUAGCAAGGUUAACCGAAUAGGGGAGCCGAAGGGAAACCGAGUCUUAACUGGGCGUUAAGUUGCAGGGUAUAGACCCGAAACCCGGUGAUCUAGCCAUGGGCAGGUUGAAGGUUGGGUAACACUAACUGGAGGACCGAACCGACUAAUGUUGAAAAAUUAGCGGAUGACUUGUGGCUGGGGGUGAAAGGCCAAUCAAACCGGGAGAUAGCUGGUUCUCCCCGAAAGCUAUUUAGGUAGCGCCUCGUGAAUUCAUCUCCGGGGGUAGAGCACUGUUUCGGCAAGGGGGUCAUCCCGACUUACCAACCCGAUGCAAACUGCGAAUACCGGAGAAUGUUAUCACGGGAGACACACGGCGGGUGCUAACGUCCGUCGUGAAGAGGGAAACAACCCAGACCGCCAGCUAAGGUCCCAAAGUCAUGGUUAAGUGGGAAACGAUGUGGGAAGGCCCAGACAGCCAGGAUGUUGGCUUAGAAGCAGCCAUCAUUUAAAGAAAGCGUAAUAGCUCACUGGUCGAGUCGGCCUGCGCGGAAGAUGUAACGGGGCUAAACCAUGCACCGAAGCUGCGGCAGCGACACUAUGUGUUGUUGGGUAGGGGAGCGUUCUGUAAGCCUGUGAAGGUGGCCUGUGAGGGUUGCUGGAGGUAUCAGAAGUGCGAAUGCUGACAUAAGUAACGAUAAAGCGGGUGAAAAGCCCGCUCGCCGGAAGACCAAGGGUUCCUGUCCAACGUUAAUCGGGGCAGGGUGAGUCGACCCCUAAGGCGAGGCCGAAAGGCGUAGUCGAUGGGAAACAGGUUAAUAUUCCUGUACUUGGUGUUACUGCGAAGGGGGGACGGAGAAGGCUAUGUUGGCCGGGCGACGGUUGUCCCGGUUUAAGCGUGUAGGCUGGUUUUCCAGGCAAAUCCGGAAAACCAAGGCUGAGGCGUGAUGACGAGGCACUACGGUGCUGAAGCGACAAAUGCCCUGCUUCCAGGAAAAGCCUCUAAGCAUCAGGUAACAUCAAAUCGUACCCCAAACCGACACAGGUGGUCAGGUAGAGAAUACCAAGGCGCUUGAGAGAACUCGGGUGAAGGAACUAGGCAAAAUGGUGCCGUAACUUCGGGAGAAGGCACGCUGAUAUGUAGGUGAAGCGACUUGCUCGUGGAGCUGAAAUCAGUCGAAGAUACCAGCUGGCUGCAACUGUUUAUUAAAAACACAGCACUGUGCAAACACGAAAGUGGACGUAUACGGUGUGACGCCUGCCCGGUGCCGGAAGGUUAAUUGAUGGGGUUAGCGGUAACGCGAAGCUCUUGAUCGAAGCCCCGGUAAACGGCGGCCGUAACUAUAACGGUCCUAAGGUAGCGAAAUUCCUUGUCGGGUAAGUUCCGACCUGCACGAAUGGCGUAAUGAUGGCCAGGCUGUCUCCACCCGAGACUCAGUGAAAUUGAACUCGCUGUGAAGAUGCAGUGUACCCGCGGCAAGACGGAAAGACCCCGUGAACCUUUACUAUAGCUUGACACUGAACAUUGAGCCUUGAUGUGUAGGAUAGGUGGGAGGCUUUGAAGUGUGGACGCCAGUCUGCAUGGAGCCGACCUUGAAAUACCACCCUUUAAUGUUUGAUGUUCUAACGUUGGCCCGUAAUCCGGGUUGCGGACAGUGUCUGGUGGGUAGUUUGACUGGGGCGGUCUCCUCCUAAAGAGUAACGGAGGAGCACGAAGGUUGGCUAAUCCUGGUCGGACAUCAGGAGGUUAGUGCAAUGGCAUAAGCCAGCUUGACUGCGAGCGUGACGGCGCGAGCAGGUGCGAAAGCAGGUCAUAGUGAUCCGGUGGUUCUGAAUGGAAGGGCCAUCGCUCAACGGAUAAAAGGUACUCCGGGGAUAACAGGCUGAUACCGCCCAAGAGUUCAUAUCGACGGCGGUGUUUGGCACCUCGAUGUCGGCUCAUCACAUCCUGGGGCUGAAGUAGGUCCCAAGGGUAUGGCUGUUCGCCAUUUAAAGUGGUACGCGAGCUGGGUUUAGAACGUCGUGAGACAGUUCGGUCCCUAUCUGCCGUGGGCGCUGGAGAACUGAGGGGGGCUGCUCCUAGUACGAGAGGACCGGAGUGGACGCAUCACUGGUGUUCGGGUUGUCAUGCCAAUGGCACUGCCCGGUAGCUAAAUGCGGAAGAGAUAAGUGCUGAAAGCAUCUAAGCACGAAACUUGCCCCGAGAUGAGUUCUCCCUGAGACUUAGAGUCUCCUGAAGGAACGUUGAAGACGACGACGUUGAUAGGCCGGGUGUGUAAGCGCAGCGAUGCGUUGAGCUAACCGGUACUAAUGAACCGUGAGGCUUAACCUU
rnacentral:rRNA from 3 species